CUUUUUUAUUGUCCCUCCACAUAACACUAUCACAUGUAACACCCAGACCAGCAGAGAAGGAACACAACGCAGAUAAUUAACACAACAUCGACAUCACCAGCAGGCUGUUGGGGGAAGUUACCUUGGCCAGUGACGCCGUCAGUAGUGAAGAUGUCAGUAAAGGCCUGUGGCAGUUGUCCAUGAUGAUCUGGAUGACCUUCCAUGUGUGUCCUGGGUCCAAGGUAUCAGAGUGACAGGUCGGUGAUAGAGUCCUCGUUUUUGCUCCCAUCAUGAUAUUGCUUGAUGCUACGUAUCUUGCCUGGAGUAUUGGAUCUACCAUCUAUGACUACAGCAACAAAAAUCAAGAUCAGGAGCAAAUGAAGAAGCUGAAUGCGUUCUUAAUGAUUCAGCAGAACCAACUUCAGGUGCAAGGGAACCUCAUUGAACACCAACAGAAAACUAUUAACAUGAUGUUUGUUCUACUGAUGAUCACCUUAGUACUGCUGAUCGUGUGUCUGCUGCUGUUAAUAAGCAUCUUCAAAUAUCUUAUCAUAGAUUCGUCGCCGUUGAACAUUGUUAAACGCUAUCAUUAGCAGAUUCAUUUUGAUAUAUACAUAAGCUUAUGUAUAAGCUAUAUACUUUCUGUUCUCUCACUCUUUUAUUCUCUCUUUUUUGAUGUUAUGAACAAAAGAAUUAUAAGCAGUGGUGUUGUGAUGUUACCAAGAAACUACAAAGAAACAUAAACUAAAGAGUGAUAGUUAUAUUAAUGACAUGGUAUUAUGCUAUAGAAAAUAAUUGAUAAAAUGUAUCAAUGAGUUCAUUAAUUAAAUGUCUGAUUAUUCGGAUUUAGGAAAUCAAUGGUUCCUAUUGUAGGAUUGUUGUGACAUACGAGUUUUCUACAGAUUAUAACACUUUCCUUUCUGUGAGUACAAACGCUUUGGAACUGGGGUUUUACCGCUGGAUCAAAUCUAACCUCAAACAUAAAUUACAAAUGGAUCAUAUGAGCUUUUUGUGAAUCGCUUUAUUUUAGCAGGCUGGAGAUUCUUAGUGCAGUGGUAGGAACCCUCAGAUAGCUUUUAUUAAGAUAUGGAAAGUGUCAUGAUACACGUACACACACACACACACACACACACACACCAGCAGCUGGGCACACUAUGGAGUCAGAUCGGUGUCAAAACUCACAAAUAAAUGUCACACAAUAUGAAUAAACCGCUC